rnacentral:misc_RNA from 1 species
UACGAAGGGUCCAAGCGUUGUUCGGAAUUACUGGGCGUAAAGCGCGCGUAGGCGGGUUUGUAAGUCGAUUGUGAAAGCCCUGGGCUCAACCCGGGAACAGCAGUCGAAACUGCAAAUCUUGAAUGUCUGAGAGGAUGGCGGAAUUCCCGGUGUAGUAGUGAAAUACGUAGAUAUCGGGAAGAACACCUGAGGCGAAGGCGGCUAUCUGGCGGUACAUUGACGCUGAGGCGCGAAAGCGUGGGGAGCAAACAGG